rnacentral:lncRNA from 1 species
GCCCUUAGUCCGUGGCUCCAGCGAUGGAUGCCUGGCCGGUGUCGUCCCUUUGAGGACAACUGGACAGGCGGCCCCCAUCUGGGUGAUUCUACUGGCCAGGUUCAGGACAUCGGGGCGGGCGUGGCUGGCCCCUAUGAAGUUACCGCGCACAGUAGUGGAGAGUCGGGCGUUUAACGUUGGCGGAUGGAGUUGGAUAGACCGAAAAAUCAAGAAAGAUGUCUAAGCAACAACCAACCCAGUUUAUAAAUCCAGAAACUCCUGGCUAUGUUGGAUUUGCAAAUCUCCCCAAUCAAGUUCACCGAAAAUCAGUGAAGAAGGGGUUCGAGUUCACUCUGAUGGUGGUCGGUAAGACGUCAUCUUACAAAAUGUUCCCUUUCUGAGCCUAUGAAAUACAUUGGCCUUACCUGUAAUCUAAGUGAGAAAAUUUCUUUCUUCACAAAAUCAACUCUGGUACUUAAAAAUAUUUAUUUGGCCAAGAUUUCAUAUUUAUGCACACACAUAUUCUGGAAAUUUUGUUCAAGAGGAAAAUACAAUUUUUAUGUAAUUUCUUUAUUCAUAUACAAUGAAAGUUUCUUUGUGAUGAUUAAUUUUUAAAAUAGUCACCAGUGAUAUUUACCCCCUAAUAUUCACAACCCAUACCAGGAUUUCUUUGGGCUUGUUGUUGUUGUUUCUUACUUUUAUUGUGUGUGUGUGCACGUAUUUAAUGUGCACAGAGGCAGGCACCUUGUGUAGAGGUGGUUCUCUCCUUCCAUCUCUAUGUGGGUUAAGGAUAGAACUCAGGUCACAAGGCUCGAGCAGCAAGUGCCUUUACUUUCUGAAUCAUCUUGUUGUCCCUCACCCCUAUCUCUUAAAUAGUUGUAGAUGGAUGUUAUAGAAAUGAUGUGACUGGGCUGGGGAUUUAGCUCAGUGGUAGAGCGCUUACCUAGGAAGCGCAAGGCCCUGGGUUCGGUCCCCAGCUCCGAAAAAAAGAACCAAAAAAAAAAAAAAAAAAAAAA